AUAAAAAUUUUUGUUUUUUCUCAAAAUUCUAGCGUUAACUUCAAAAUUUCUUGUUGUAUCAAUCUUGGUCGUAUUGGACACUUGGACACUUGGACAUUAAAAUGUAGCAUCCAAAUAAUUAUAACAAUUAAGUUUGUUAUAUAUAUAUUAUAUUUCUAUCAUCACAAAUUUAAAAAUAAGGAGGCACCAUCCAAUCCAUCCGUGGCAAAAGAAUAUGUUAGGAAAACUAUAUCUCAAUUUUAAACCAUAUAUAAACUUUCAUAUAAACUAAGUUCAGAAAGAGAUUCUUUCUCUAUAAAAUUUCUUUAUACUGGAUAAAAAUUUCCACUUAUUAUUAAAAUGGAGUGAAGUUAAGGAUACGUGUUGUUUCAUCAUUUAUUAUAAUAUUAGAAAGACUAACUAAAACGAAAACUAUUAGAACUAUUAUGCUUCUAACCUUAUCAAAAUCUUAUAUCCACUUCUUUUAAACUUUUUUCAAGGAGGCACCAUCCAAUCCAUCCGUGGCAAAAGAAUAUGUUAGGAAAACUAUAUCUCAAUUUUAAACCAUAUAUAAACUUUCAUAUAAACUAAGUUAAGAAAGAGAUUCUUUCUCUAUAAAAUUUCUUUAUACUGGAUAAAAAUUUCCACUUAUUAUUAAAAUGGAGUGAAGUUAAGGAUACGUGUUGUUUCAUUAUACACUACUAUAGAUAAUGAUUCCUUCGACUUCGUAAAUUUUUAUAAUACACAUUUCAUUUAUAAAAAUCUUACUAUAUAUCCUUAUCUUAUGCAAGUUGCUUUGGUUAACAGUACUAUAUUAAUGUGUAAUAUUCAUUAUUUAAUAAAAGACCAGAUUUUUUUUGAAGAGAGUUUCUCUUUUGGUUAUCAACGGAUAUAAUGAAUGAUUGACUGGUGGAAGGAAGUACAUACAAUAUUUAAAAGCAAUUACAAUGAAAGCAUAUACCUAUAUACAUGUAUAUAUACAUAUAUGAAAAUUUAUAGUACAAAUCUAUAAUGAAAAAAUAACCCUAAAAGAAUUACUUUAAUUAAAACUCUCAAGUGGAUCAAAGUAAAUCUGUUGAAAUCAAUUAAGCAUAUCACUUGAGAUAUGUAUUGUUCAUGAUGUAGUGAAUGUAAUGGAGUCGUCGUCUAUGGAACCAUUAGUUAAUUUGUGUUUAUUUUAUUUUUAAUCUGGAU